UACGGGGGGAGCAAGCGUUGUCCGGAUUUACUGGGCGUAAAGGGCGCGUAGGCGGCCAGCACAAGUCAGUUGUGAAAUCUCCGAGCUUAACUCGGAAAGGUCAACUGAUACUGUGCGGCUAGAGUGCGGAAGGGGCAACUGGAAUUCUUGGUGUAGCGGUGAAAUGCGUAGAUAUCAAGAGGAACACCUGCGGCGAAGGCGGGUUGCUGGGCCGACACUGACGCUGAGGCGCGAAAGCCAGGGGAGCGAACGGG
rnacentral:rRNA from 1 species